CUCUCCGUUCGCGUGUCAGGGCUAGCGGGAUGCGGAGGCGGGAGGUCUGUCGGGGCGGCUGUCUCUGAGCUCCCUGUAGCCCGUUUCAUUGGGAAACGUGGCCCCGUGAGCAGAAACCGGAGCGUGUUGGUGGAGGCACGUCCCGAAAGUUAGAGGUUGCACUGGAAGGCUGAUUUUGUUGGGUCAGGAAGGAUGCGGCUGUGCUGAUGUUGUAGUUAAAAGCAGGGGGGUGCUUUUGAUCUAGCUGCCAUCCUACUGCGCUUGGUGUGCAUCUCAGCGCGUGCAAGGCGGGUCCCUUUCGGAUGAAGCCGCACCUGAAGACACGGUCCUGGCUCAUCCUCGCGUGCUCCAGGUGCCGGUGGGCGCUGAGGCCACGGGGGCUGUCGUCAGCCCCUUAACACCCGCUCAGCGCAGACCUCGGGCCCUCGGCACCAGAUCCGCCCGCGUUUUGCCCCUCUACGUGCUGGUGAAGACGCAGCCGAGUGUCCUGCCAGGCUCGCAGGGCGUGUGUUUCCACCUCCCACCCCUGCGCGGCGGCCAGAAAGGGAAAUAGCCCGAGGAACGAGUGGGUGUGGGGAUAGGCAACCCAGCCCUUAAGCCAUAAUGAGUCGGAAGCUUUUUAUCUGCUUUGAUUUUAGCUCUGAGCUUAAUUACAUGGGUGGAAAAAUUCUCGUGAGGGGAAGCGGCCGGGGAAGCAGGCAUGUCCGACCAUCCUCGCCCUGGAGAUCGCUGGCUCUGGGUGACGCUCUGCGCACGCUCGGCGUCUCGAGGCACUGGCGUGUCCCGGUUGCAGCUCCCCUGCCGUGGAGACCGCGGGGAGCCGAGGGCCCGUGAGGUCCACACGCUGGGUGGGAAGGUCCUGGAGCAGGGAGGGAAGGUCCUGGAGCAGGGAGGGCUCCCCGGGCUGAGUCCUCCGCAGCCCGGGUACGUGCAGUCAGGGCCUGUCUGUCACUGCGACACUGCUGAAUGCGUUUUCUGCUUUCAGUGUUUUGUUCUUAAUGCAGAAACUAGCUUUUAUUUUGCUCUCCAGCCUCUCCUGGAAGCGAGUCGAAUACACUGCGUGACUUUUGCAGGUAUCUGCGCAGCAGCCGGAUCCCCGAGUAAGCGCCCUGGGUAUGGAGCUACCUGUUGCUCAUCCGCCGAACAGUGGCUCAUUGUGGCGCGGGGUUUCCCAGACGCCUGCGUGUCUCCUUCCCGGAGCUCCCCCGGCUCCUGUUUGCUCUCUCUCCGCUUUUGUUUCCUUCCCCUUGUCUCCCUGCCCUGCCUCUCCCGGAGCGGCUCCUGCCCUCCCGCGGGCCCGGGGCCGGCGGCGGUCCGAGCUCGUCCCUCCCGCGCCUUGGUCCGAGCUCGUCCCUCCCGCGCCUCGUGCACACGGCCUGCCGUUAAACGCACAGUCCUGCUCGGCUGCUCCCUCCGUGAAAACAUUUUUCCCUCUUUUUGGCAGCGCUCCCGGAGCAAGCGCAGCGGGGGCGGCGACAGGCAGGAGCUUUCGAGCGGGGCUUGCGACGGCCGAGCUGGCUGUUUGCUUCAGUUGCAGCAGGUUUUAUUAGCGCAUCGUUGGGGAAACGUAUUUUCGCUGUCCCGUGACGCAGGGCAGGGGAAGGACGUGCUCCAGAUCCCGGGGCGAGGAGGAGGCGCCCGCCCGCCCGUGCACGGCCCCGCGGUCGGUGCCUUGCGGCAGGGCACCUCUGCGCCGCGCGGAUAAGGCUCGGCUUGCUCCUGCAGCCUGCGAGCGAGGGAGAAGGAGGUGGGGAAAGGCAGAAAGAGAAGGAGAAGAUGCGGAGGCAGCGCUGGGAUUUUCCCAGGCUCAUCUGGUUUCCCCAAAGCUUUUCUGUGCCACGUGCUCAGAAGCUGUCGGGGGGACCUGUGGGUUAAAACCAGCAAGCCAACCCCCAAACCUACCCCGGUUAUUUACUGUCAAGGGCCCAGCCUUAAGGUCGUUGUCCCAGCCGCUACAUAGGGCAAGUGUCCUCAGCUUGACUCGCUCCGCACGUGCUUUGCUUUCAUUUUAGGGCAGAACCGUAAAUUGCUCAAGUCCCUCUGUGCACCAGAUCUUGCCUUUGAAGGCUCCGCGCUGCCCGGGGAGCACAGGGAGGCUUGUUCGGCUGGCUCCUGGGCUGAAUUCGUACAUCUUCCGUCUUUUUUUCCCCUGCCAAGUGCAAAGUUUCCUAGAAGUCACGGGGAUUGCCUUGCGGCACGGCGUAGUCUUGAAAUUCAGGUCGCUUAUCUAGCCUUGAGAGAGACAAACACCCCAAACUCCCACCUCCCUGGUUUCCUAGAGCCUGGCCUGGAAAGUUUUGCUCGUCGAGGCAGUGCAUUUUGGUGCGUUUGCUAAACAUAUGAGCUGCGCGUGAGGAGGGCCCUGAAAAGCAGACCAGACUGCCCCUGUGCCGCAAGGAAAAUUUCUCCUUAUCCCUGCCUGACAAGAUGCAUGUUUCCCCCAUGAUUUAUUUAAAGCCCUCUGUUAAGUGCAGCAGCAGAAUUAUCAGCAUGGAUAAAUGGAAAUGCCUUUAUUUGAAAGGACUCCUUGUCAGAGCCCAUUACGGGCUUCCAAAAAGCAUUCUUCUGAUUGUUGUAAUAAAAUUAUAGGGAGAAAAAGAGACUGGAAAGCCAUUUGCCGUGCCUCGAUGGAAAAGUUGAAGCUAAUGGCUGUCUGCCCCAUAUUUACAGCUAAGGGUCUGCAAAUAUUGUUACUAUGGCUUGCGUGAUCCAUGCGGCUUCGGAAAUGCACGGUGACUCGAUCGCCUGCCUGGGUCCUACGUUGCUAAUGGGUCAAUGGUUGAAGAUGCAGCCGGCUCUUAAACCUCUGGACUCCGCUUUUCCUCCUGUUGGCUAAGCAGGUAGUGAACGCGGAGUAAUAGCUUUAUUGCCUUUCUGAUGGGGAGAUACUGCUGGAGUCGGAAAUCACAUCCCUCUUGGUUAAAACAGUCACGCUAACUGCAGGAUGGAGAGACUCGUGGUUGAGGUGGGCUUCGCUGGUGAAGCGCUUGAGCUCUUCCGCGGCGCGUGCCGGUGGCAGCACUUCUCACCGCCACCAGCCUGCAAGGCGAGGGGAUGUUUCUCCUCCACGUUGAAGACUGCGUUUGAAAGGAGCCAAAGGACCUUACGGCUGUGGCUUUUAAAGGAAACUGAGGCGGGGAAGAUGCUCAGGCACCGCUGCUAGGCGCAGCUCGGAGGGAGGCCAGCUGUGGCUCUAACAGGCAGCGCAAGUGCAGGGCGCUCCGUGCUCUUGCCAGCUUUUGAUAGUACUUUGUUUUCCCCGGUUUUCCAAAACCAGACUCCAGCUUAGCCUUUCAGCGUUGUUAUAAAAAACUGCAGCGUCUCUCUAAACACUUCUCGGAGUAUGUCCAAACAUAGCUUUCGGUUUUUCCUGCCAGCUUGCAAGGCUGCAGCUGCCGCUGCGUGGCCGUUUGGGAGGAGGGGACGCGAUGGCAGUGUGUCGUGCCGCGGGGCUCACCCCGGCAGUGGCUUGGCUUUGAGUUGUACAACGGCUCUAGCUCCCCUGCCUCGGAGGACGGAGGAAGGCACGGGCAGGACAAGCUCCCCGUCGUCAGCUGUGCAAGGAGGCACCGUGCACCUCUCCACGUCGGCUGAAUCACGAGUUAGGCAAGGCCCGAGGAGGGCGAUGCGCUGUUGCAGCAAGAGCAGAGCUCGUCUUUAGCAAUCGCCGAAGGUGGGGGAAAAGGAUUACCUGGCACCUCCGCCGUGCUUUCUGACGGAUCAGCCCAGAAGGCUAAUUUAUCUGUCGUGUGCGGCCCUGCCUAAUUAAUCCGGCUGUCUGCUAGACCUCGCCGUCUGCUUCGGGAGGGACCACACGGGUGACACGAGGAUUGCACGCCCGGCGCCUGGAGAAAUGCUGUGAGCCGGCCGCGGCCCGUGCAGCCAGCGGGCACCA